rnacentral:lncRNA from 1 species
AGCAUUUAUCAGUGUUCAAAGAAAAUUUUGAGGCAUGAAAUAAUGUUAAAAGUUACUUAUUUAUCCUAAUUCACAAUGUUAACUUACCAUUCUGCACAUCAAUUAAUGCGCUGCUUGUUGCAAGGAAGGGUCUCCCAAAUAUGAGUGGAACUUCUCUAUCAACCUUCAUGUCCAAAACUAUAGAGUCGAUAGAGAAUAUGGAGUUUUCUACCUUUACCAGCACAUCCUCUACUAUUCCCAUAAGGUAUCUCAUCGAUCUAU